rnacentral:rRNA from 1 species
GACGAACGCUGGCGGCGUGCUUAACACAUGCCAGUCCAACGGAAAGGCCCUGCUUUUGUGGGGUGCUCGAGUGGCGAACGGGUGAGUAACACGUGAGUAACCUGCCCUUGACUUUGGGAUAACUUCAGGAAACUGGGGCUAAUACCGGAUAGGAGCUCCUGCUGCAUGGUGGGGGUUGGAAAGUUUCGGCGGUUGGGGAUGGACUCGCGGCUUAUCAGCUUGUUGGUGGGGUAGUGGCUUACCAAGGCUUUGACGGGUAGCCGGCCUGAGAGGGUGACCGGCCACAUUGGGACUGAGAUACGGCCCAGACUCCUACGGGAGGCAGCAGUGGGGAAUAUUGCACAAUGGGCGGAAGCCUGAUGCAGCAACGCCGCGUGCGGGAUGACGGCCUUCGGGUUGUAAACCGCUUUCGCCUGUGACGAAGCGUGAGUGACGGUAAUGGGUAAAGAAGCACCGGCUAACUACGUG